rnacentral:lncRNA from 1 species
UUUUUCCCACAUUGCAGGUUGUCUCUUCAUACUGUUGGUGGCUUCUUUUGCUGUACAGAAGCUUUUUAGUGAGAAGAGAGCCCACUUGUUGAUUGUGCUAGUUCAUGGGCAACUGAAGUUUUGUCGUGCUACUGAGGAUUUGUUCAUAAAGUAUUUUCCUAUGCCAGUGUCUUUGAGAAUUCUACCUAAUUAUCAUCCAGCAAGUUUAGUGUUUCUGUUUUAAUAUGUAGAUCUUUAAUCCACUUUGAUUUUAGUCUAGUGCAUGGUAAAAGAUAGGAGUCUAGUUUUAAUCUUUGGCAGGUUGAAAUCCAGUUUUUGCAGCACCAUUUAUUAACACUUCUGUAAACUCAUAAAAUUUAGUCUUAGUCUCAGAUUCCCCCAAAGGUACAAUUCUGUGGAUCACGCUAUACUCUUUCAUUUAUUCCUAUACUAUUAAAAAGUCCAUUGUAGAGAAUUAAGAGAAUUGAUAUCUAUAUUUUGUUUAAGCAUUGAUACAUAGUCAGAGUGUAGUUUUUGCUGGAGGAAAGUGGUAGCAUCAGUAUUAUUUUGAAAUGUGACUGAUUUGGGCAUAAUUUGCUCUUUGAAAUGCUAGGCAUGGAACCCAGGGCCAUAUGCAUGCUAAGCAUGCACACUGCUGCUGAGCUCUACCUUCAGCCCUGGAAUAAUUUACUCUUAAUAAAUCCAGAAUUUUAAAGCUUUUCUACUUUUUAAAAUUUUGUCUGUAUAGUAUCUUUCUGAUAGUAAAUCAUUUUUAUCUCUUUUAUGAGGGCUUCAGUUUUCCAAGCCAUAAGUCCAGAAGAAAAGAUCAGGCAAUUAGAGAAGAAAGUAAAUGAAUUGGUAGAAGAAAGCUGUAUUGCCAACAGUUGUGGAGACUUAAAAUUGGCCUUAGAAAAGGCUAAAGAUGCAGGAAGAAAAGAGAGAGUCCUGGUGCGACAACGAGAACAACUUACAACUCCAGAAAAUAUCAAUUUGGAUUUGACUUACUCAGUAAGUAUUGAAAUACCUGCUGGGUAAAUUUAUUUUGACUAACAUCUCUGAAUUCUAGGUCAUUUUAUGCAUUAUUUUAAAAUUUUUUAUCUAGUAUAUAAAAAUACAAAUAUUAUACGUUUUUAUGGGGUACCAUGUGAUAUUUUGAUACAGGUAUAUCAUCUAAUGUUUAAAUCAGGUUAAGUAUACCUGUCUUCUCAAACAUUUAUCAUUUCCUUAUGGUAAAAAGAUUCACAUUUCUU